rnacentral:ncRNA from 1 species
GUUUCAGGGCGGGGUGCAAUUCCCCACUGGCGGUAUGGGAGCAGCUCCCAAGCCCGCGAACCGCAAAGGCGGCCGAUCUGGUGCGAUUCCAGAGCCAACGGUAACAGUCCGGAUGGGAGAAA